rnacentral:rRNA from 1 species
GUUCGAUCCUGGCCUGUGAUUGAACGCUGGCGGGAUGCUUUACACAUGCAAGUCGAACGGCAGCACGGACUCCGGUCUGGUGGCGAGUGGCGAACGGGUGAGUACUGAUCGAACGAACGUGCCUAGUAGCGGGGGAUAACUACGCGAGCGUAGUUAAUACCGCACAGCAUUCUCUGGGGAAAGCGGGGACCUUCGGGCCUCGCACCAUUAGAGCGGCCGACACGGAUUAGCUAGUUGGUGGGAACGGCUCAAAUAAAGACAUCCGCAGCUGGUCGAGAUAUCGCAAGAUCAGCCACACUGGGACUGGAGAUACGGCCUAGACUCCUACGGGAGGCAGCAGUGGGGAAUUCUUGGACAAUGGGGAAACCCUGAUCCAGCCAUCCUGCGUGCGAUGAAGGCCUUGAAGUUAGAAAAGACCUGGCAGGAAGAAACUUGGCACGGGAGCACACCGUGCAACUGACGGUACCUGCAGAAUAAGUGAAUGUAUAACUACGUGCCAGCAGCCGCGGUAAUACGUAUGCGUUAAUCGGAAUUUACUGGCGUAAAGUAUGCAGGUUCGGAAAGAAAGAUGAAAUCCCAGAGCUUAACUUUGGAACUGCAUUUUUAACUACCGAGCUAGAGUGUGUCAGAGGGAGGUGAAUCGCGUAGUAGUGAAAUGCGUAGAUAUAGUGGAGGAACACCGAUGGCGAAGGCAGCCUCCGGGAUAACACUGACGCUCAUGCACGAAAGCGUGGGGAGCAAACAGGAUUAGAUAAAUUUCUGGUAGUCCACGCUCAACGAUGUCAACUAGCUGUUGGGGCCUUCGGGCCGUAGCGCAGCCAACGCGUGAAGUUGACCGCCUGGGGAGUACGGUCGCAAGAUUAAAACUCAAAGGAAUUGACGGGGACUCGCACAAGCGGUGGAUGAUGUGGAUUAAUUCGAUGCAAACGCGAAAAACCUCAUUCCACUUUACAUGUUCCGAAUCCCGAAGAGAUUUGGGAGUGCUCGCAAGAGAACCGGAACACAGGUGCUGCAUGGCUGUCGUCAGCUCGUGUCGAGAUGUUGGGUUAAGUCCUGCAACGAGCGCAACUCCUUGUCAUUAUUAUACGAAAGGCACCGAAUGACCCGCCCGCUGACAAACCGGAGGAAGGUGGGGAUGACGUCGUAAGUCCUCGCGCCCCCAGGGUAGGGCUUCACACGUCAUAAGCAACGGUCGGGACAGAGGUGGUCGCCAACCCGCGAGGGGGAGCCAAUCCCAGAAACCCGAUCGUAGUCCGGAUCGCAGUCUGCAACUCGACUGCGUGAAGUCGGAAUCGCCAGUAACGGUGGAUCAGCAUGUCGCGGUGAAUACGUUCCGGGUCUUGUACACACCGCCCGUCACACCAUGGGAGUGGGACGGACGAAGUAGUUAGCCUAACUCGGGGUAAGGAGGGCGAUUACUGUAGGAUUCACGACUGGGGUGAAGUCGUAACAAGGUAA